AACGAACGCUGGCGGCAUGCCUAACACAUGCAAGUCGAACGAGACCUUCGGGUCUAGUGGCGCACGGGUGCGUAACGCGUGGGAACCUGCCCUUAGGUUCGGAAUAACUCCCCGAAAGGGGUGCUAAUACCGGAUAAUGUCUGCGGACCAAAGAUUUAUCGCCUUUGGAUGGGCACGCGUUGGAUUAGCUAGUUGGUAGGGUAAAAGCCUACCAAGGCGACGAUCCAUAGCUGGUCUGAGAGGAUGAUCAGCCACACUGGGACUGAGACACGGCCCAGACUCCUACGGGAGGCAGCAGUGGCGAAUAUUGGACAAUGGGCUAAAGCCUGAUCCAGCAAUGCCGCGUGAGUGAUGAAGGCCUUAGGGUUGUAAAGCUCUUUUACCCGGGAUGAUAAUGACAGUACCGGGAGAAUAAGCUCCGGCUAACUCCGUG
rnacentral:rRNA from 1 species